AGAGUUUGAUCCUGGCUCAGAAUCAACGCUGGCGGCGUGCCUAACACAUGCAAGUCGAACGAGAAAGUGGUAGCAAUACCAUGAGUAAAGUGGCGCACGGGUGAGUAACACGUGACUAACCUACCCUGGAGUUCGGAAUAACCUCGGGAAACCGGGGCUAAUACCGAAUGACACCGAGAGGUCAAAGGAGCAAUUCGCUCUGGGAGGGGGUCGCGGCUGAUUAGCUAGUUGGUAGGGUAAUGGCCUACCAAGGCGACGAUCAGUAUCCGGCCUGAGAGGGCGCACGGACACACUGGAACUGAAACACGGUCCAGACUCCUACGGGAGGCAGCAGUGGGGAAUUUUGCACAAUGGGGGAAACCCUGAUGCAGCAACGCCGCGUGGAGGAUGAAGGUCUUUGGAUUGUAAACUCCUUUCGAUCGGGACGAUUAUGACGGUACCGGAAGAAGAAGCACCGGCUAACUCUGUGCCAGCAGCCGCGGUAAUACAGAGGGUGCAAGCGUUGUUCGGAAUUAUUGGGCGUAAAGCGCGCGCAGGCGGUCCUUUAAGUCUGAUGUGAAAUCUCGCGGCUCAACCGCGAGCGGCCAUUGGAAACUGGGGGACUUGAGUGCAGAAGAGGAAAGCGGAAUUCCACGUGUAGCGGUGAAAUGCGUAGAGAUGUGGAGGAACACCAGUGGCGAAGGCGGCUUUCUGGUCUGUAACUGACGCUGAGGCGCGAAAGCGUGGGGAGCAAACAGGAUUAGAUACCCUGGUAGUCCACGCCGUAAACGAUGAGUGCUAAGUGUUAGAGGGUUUCCGCC
rnacentral:rRNA from 1 species